rnacentral:rRNA from 1 species
UACGGAGGGAGCUAGCGUUGUUCGGAAUUACUGGGCGUAAAGCGCGCGUAGGCGGCUUUGUAAGUUAGAGGUGAAAGCCCGGGGCUCAACCCCGGAACUGCCUUUAAGACUGCAUCGCUUGAAUCCAGGAGAGGUGAGUGGAAUUCCGAGUGUAGAGGUGAAAUUCGUAGAUAUUCGGAAGGAACACCAGUGGCGAAGGCGGCUCACUGGACUGGUAUUGACGCUGAUGGACACGAAAGCGUGGGAGCAAACAGG